GGGAGCGGAGACAACUACUGCGCCUGCGCGACCACCCGCCCAGCAACAGCGGCAGCAGCAGGAGAUAAUAUUCUCUACAAAUAAUGUGCAUUCAGGAGUUACAGAAGAUACUUUGUGUAGAUUAAGGGAAGGCUUUGCUGCCACCAGUGGUAAGAAGUGGUACUGCAGUGGUUCAGGCUGCGGAUUUGUCCAUCCCCCAUGCUUUACACUGCAGCUAUACAUGCUUACAAUUUCUGCUGGAUAGAAGCCUGAGUACUAAUUAAAGGUUAUUAACAACACUUCAGUAAUUUACCCGUAAAGAAGAUAAUUAGGCGUAUGGUAAUUUACAGCGAAGAGAAUAAUUUAAGAUUUGCACAAUUUCUCCCCACGUGUGCAGCAUCGCCCUUCAUGACGCGGUUUACGUGCACCAGUCGGUUGCAGAUAUCUAACAGUGGCAGAAGUUUGGAAUGUGAAUUGCGGCUGGCGGAUUCCCUUACAAGAAUGGAGGGCGGUAUGAUGCGAUAUGGCGGUAGGAACCGUUAUCACAGAGGAGUAUGGAAUCUUUGGUUUUUCCAUUUGCUAGAUUCCUUUCUGAGAACCGAGCAGCUUAGACAGAGCCGUGUUAUUCUUCAAUCACUUCCAGCACCGACGCUCUUGGCCGCGCACCCUAAUAGAAACUCAAUGGAUGAAAUACGUAGUAUAAUUGGAAGCAGGUUCCCAACGUGUGUUACACAUGUCUGCACUUAUCUCACAGGACAGGAUCAUCUCAGUUCAUGCGGGAAAAACAACUGCGUUCCGGGUCCCAGUCCUGCAACAUACUACAUGAGUUCUGCAUGGAUAAUAUUGGAGAUCUCUAUAUGGAGUAAACAAGCAGAAUGUACCGUCACAUGGUGAAUUCACUGACUCAUUUCCUGUUGUUUUUUUCUUCGUGUCUUUUUUUAUUAAUUGAGACCUAAACUUUCUAAGCACCAGCUGUUUCCUGCAUACACCCCAACAACCUCCAGAUACUAGAAAUAAUGGUGACCAAUACCUGUGGUCCUUACGUCAGGUGACACUCUACACAAAUCAUUCAGUACGUACAAGUGAGGUGCCACAAUAGGACACUGGGGAGUGAUGAGAAAGAUAAGUAUUUGUAGAUAACCCACUGCUACGGUGUGUCCGGCUAAUGGAGUCCCAUGCUCAAUCAAUGCAGCUUUAAAGGGGUACUCCAGUGAAGAACAAUUAUUUCUUAUCCACUAGCUCCAGAAAGUUAAAGGGGUCCUCCGGCACUAAGACAUCUUAUCCCCCCCCCCCAUUACCAUCAGCCCCCUGAGCAUGUUCGCUCCAGGUCUGAUGACAGCUGCCAAGCCCCUCCCAUAGGCUUGCAUUGAGGGGGUGGAGCGUGUCGUCACACGGGGGCGAAGCCGUGACAUCC